rnacentral:rRNA from 1 species
UACGAAGGGGGCUAGCGUUGCUCGGAAUUACUGGGCGUAAAGCGUGCGCAGGCGGUGAUGUAAGACAGAUGUGAAAUCCCCGGGCUCAACCUGGGAACUGCAUUUGUGACUGCAUGGCUGGAGUGCGGCAGAGGGGGAUGGAAUUCCGCGUGUAGCAGUGAAAUGCGUAGAUAUGCGGAGGAACACCGAUGGCGAAGGCAAUCCCCUGGGCCUGCACUGACGCUCAUGCACGAAAGCGUGGGGAGCAAACAGG